rnacentral:lncRNA from 10 species
UUCAGUUAAUAAUGUAUUCUAUCUCUCUAUUGUUAGGUUUUAAAACCUUUCAAUGAAUUCUUCUAAUAUUCUUCAUAAAUAUCUAAUCUUAGUAUAUUGCAUUUUCCCUCUACUUAUUUGGAAGUUUACACUGUAUUCUUUUACUUAUUGCCCUUGAAAUUUUAACAUGUAUGCUUAAGUCUAAAAUUAAUAUCCUAAACAAUCCUCUGAAACAAUGUAAGGACCUUGGAACACUUUCACUCUAAUCUUUCCUACCCAUGCUAUUUUAGUCUGCCCCUUUUUAAUCCCCAAUUCACAUUAUUAUUACCAUUAUUAUAUUAGGCAGACAUUCUUUUAGAUUUGCCUAUAUGUUUGCCACCACCUUUGCUCAUCAUUCCUUCUUGCAUCACAAACCUUCUGUCUGAGGUCACCUUUCUUCCCAAAAUACAGAUGGGCCUUGAAGGUCCUAUAGUGAAGUUCUAUUGGUGAUUAACUGCUGGUUCUCACGGUGCUGAGAUGAGGACCUCAGUGCUUCCUGUGACACCAUGUGGAGGAGCUGAGAUGGAGAAGCAGAAGGACUUCUAAUUCUGGAAAGGUUUUUGCAUUUCUGACAAUCAACCGAUGGCUCCACCUGGACCUGCCAACCCCGCCAAGCAGUCGUGGACCCAGAAGCAGACUCCCUGGCCUGCCAAACUAUCCUUACAAAACCCUAGCCUCCAACUUUUCAGGAAGAUUGAUUUGAGUAAUAACUCCAUUUACCACGUGGCACGGCUGGCCUCAAUGAUUAAACUCUAUUG